rnacentral:rRNA from 1 species
GACGUAGGGUGCGAGCGUUGUCCGGAUUUAUUGGGCGUAAAGAGCUCGUAGGCGGCUCGUCGCGUCGACCGUGAAAACCCGCAGCUUAACUGCGGGCUUGCGGUUGAUACGGGCGGGCUAGAGUUCGGUAGGGGAGACUGGAAUUCCUGGUGUAGCAGUGAAAUGCGCAGAUAUCAGGAGGAACACCGGUGGCGAAGGCGGGUCUCUGGGCCGAUACUGACGCUGAGGAGCGAAAGCGUGGGGAGCGAACAGG